GACGAACGCUGGCGGCGUGCUUAACACACGCAAGUCGAACGGAAAGGCCCUGCUUUUGUGGGGUGCUCGAGUGGCGAACGGGUGAGUAACACGUGAGUAACCUGCCCUUGACUUUGGGAUAACUUCAGGAAACUGGGGCUAAUACCGGAUAGGAGCUCCUGCUGCAUGGUGGGGGUUGGAAAGUUUCGGCGGUUGGGGAUGGACUCGCGGCUUAUCAGCUUGUUGGUGGGGUAGUGGCUUACCAAGGCUUUGACGGGUAGCCGGCCUGAGAGGGUGACCGGCCACAUUGGGACUGAGAUACGGCACAGACUCCUACGGGAGGCAGCAGUGGGGAAUAUUGCACAAUGGGCGGAAGCAUGAUGCAGCAACGCAGCGUGCGGGAUGACGGCCUUCGGGUUGUAAACCGCUUUCGCCUGUGACGAAGCGUGAGUGACGGUAAUGGGUAAAGAAGCACCGGCUAACUACGUG
rnacentral:rRNA from 1 species